rnacentral:rRNA from 1 species
ACGCUGAGGCACGAAAGCGUGGGUAUCGAACAGGAUUAGAUACCCUGGUAGUCCACGCAGUAAACGAUGAAUGCCGGCUGUCCGGUCCGACUGAGGGCUGGGUGGCGAAGCGAAAGCGAUAAGCAUCCCACCUGGGGAGUACGCCGGCAACGGUGAAACUCAAAGGAAUUGACGGGGGCCCGCACAAGCGGAGGAACAUGUGGUUUAAUUCGAUGAUACGCGAGGAACCUUACCCGGGCUCAAACGGGAGAUGACGCGGGCAGAGACGCCCGUUUCUUAGGACAUCUUCCGAGGUGCUGCAUGGUUGUCGUCAGCUCGUGCCGUGAGGUGUCGGCUUAAGUGCCAUAACGAGCGCAACCCCUGCCGACAGUUGCUAACGCGUUGAGGCGAGGACUCUGUCGGGACUGCCGGCGCAAGCCGCGAGGAAGGCGGGGAUGACGUCAAAUCAGCACGGCCCUUACGUCCGGGGCGACACACGUGUUACAAUGGCAGGUACAGCGGGAUGCCAUGGGGCGACCCAGAGCGGAACCCGAAAACCUGUCUCAGUUCGGAUUGGAGUCUGCAACCCGACUCCAUGAAGCUGGAUUCGCUAGUAAUCGCGCAUCAGCCACGGCGCGGUGAAUACGUUCCCGGGCCUUGUACACACCGCCCGUCAAGCCAUGGGAGCCGGGGGUGCCUGAAGGCCGUGACCGCGAGGAGCGGCCUAGGGUAAAACUGGUGACUGGGGCUAAGUCGUAACAAGGUAGCCGUAA